rnacentral:rRNA from 1 species
GAUGAACGCUGGCGGCGUGCCUAAUACAUGCCAGUCGAGCGAACAGACGAGGAGCUUGCUCCUCUGACGUUAGCGGCGGACGGGUGAGUAACACGUGGAUAACCUACCUAUAAGACUGGGAUAACUUCGGGAAACCGGAGCUAAUACCGGAUAAUAUAUUGAACCGCAUGGUUCAAUAGUGAAAGACGGUUUUGCUGUCACUAAUAGAUGAAUCCGCGCCGCAUUAGCUAGUUGGUAAGGUAACGGCUUACCAAGGCAACGAUGCGUAGCCGACCUGAGAGGGUGAUCGGCCACACUGGAACUGAGACACGGUCCAGACUCCUACGGGAGGCAGCAGUAGGGAAUCUUCCGCAAUGGGCGAAAGCCUGACGGAGCAACGCCGCGUGAGUGAUGAAGGUCUUCGGAUCGUAAAACUCUGUUAUUAGGGAAGAACAAAUGUGUAAGUAACUAUGCACGUCUUGACGGUACCUAAUCAGAAAGCCACGGCUAACUACGUG